rnacentral:lncRNA from 1 species
AAAAGAUUACAUCACAAAAUUGGUCUUUAUGCACUUUAAAAGAUCACAUCACAAAAUUCGUAUGAAAUGUUCUACGACGUUGUGCCAACCUUGAUUUUCCUUCAUAUCAAAGCUCUCGAGCAUUUAUGAAUGAAUCGGUGGAUAUGUAGUGGCAGAAAAAUCUGCUUUGGCAAAGAAGCAACUAGACUUAAAAUUAUGACACAAUAAAGGAGAAGAUUGCUUAUAAUGGAAAAAUGAAUAUUACUAUUUGCAUCGAGGUAAAUACAUAUAUUCAAAGUACUAUUUGCAGAUACUCAAAGAGCACCGUAACAAUGGAGCCAAAGUGAAACAAAUAGACGACAUCAACAUUUUUUUAAAAGAAAGAGUGAAAAAACAUCAAGCAAUAAUAAUUAUGAUAUCCCAACUAAAACGGGGCUUAUAACUACCACUUAUAAAAUACAGUCACUCAAAAUUUAUUGAUAUUGAAAAGAAGAAAAUUACAAAUUUGGAUGGACUACGCCAUUAUCCAAGAUAACGCACACAAGAUUUAUUAAUAUAUUUGCCUCAUUAAAAACCUUAUCAAAGAAAGUUCAACAGAACAAAACUUUGAUGAAGGAAAAAAGAGUACAAAUUUUACGAAUUUUUUUCAACAAUAACAAAAUUAAGAUAAACUUAUUCUAUUACGAUUAAAAUCAACCUUAUUCGGGACCAGCUGGCGGAGCAUCCCACCAACUAAGACGACAUUUACAUUUAUUAUAAAGGCAUUUUGGAACGAAAGGUGCACCACAAAAAUAGUUAUCACAUUCAGCUUGCUCCCGGCAAUAGUUAGUCCAACCCGCUGUGAUAACAACAACAAAGAAGAAACAAAUAUUACUUAAAGGAAUGAAAUAUUUUGUAUAAAAUAAAUAAGAAAAUUUAACAAAUACAAAAAUGGUUUACCAAAAACGCCGGCAUUUACUGAAAUAAAUAAGGACGUAAAGAGAAUUAUUAAAUAAACAAACUUAAUAAUUCCAGUCAUAUUUUUUCUUUUAAGCCGGCAACAAAUAGAAAUUUAUUGAUCACUUUUUGUUGUAAACGUCCUAUGUUUUAUUUAU